rnacentral:lncRNA from 1 species
UUCAUUUAAGGAUGUAUUUAUUUACAAGAUACAAAUGUUUAAUAUUUAAUAGGAAUUAAAGUGCUUAAUUUUACAAUGUUUCUAAUUCUCUGCCUUUAUGACCAAAUAUACAUAUGUUACACAAUAUAUACACUAUCUGCAAGUUUUUUACAUUGAUAUAGCUAGAAAACAAAAAUUACUUUUUGUGUACACUUUUCACAUUUGAGUUAACUCUAAAAUUCUAACAUACCUUUUCAAACUGAUCAGUCAACAAUUCAAAAGCCCAGAUAACACUUAUUCAAAAGUAUCAGUCAAUUGUCACUCACAAAAUGAAAUGCUAGUUUGGUAAAAAAACAAAACAAAACACAAACAACCCCAAAGUUUUACAUACAGACAUGAUUGCUAAUGAAGGGAGACUCCCCCAAAGUGAUACAUUCCAACUCCAUUAUCAUAAUGGCCCCCACAGACUAUUAUGUUUCUUCUCAAACCUAUAUAUAUUACUCUAUGUAUUUGGUAUUCACUUAUUAAAAUAUGCUACAAUGAGUUUUUUUUUUAUUUUUCGCUAAAUCUGCCUAAUCUCACUAAUUCCAUCUAUAAUGAAUUUUAGGAAGGGGUGACCAUCAUAUGACUCUUAGUGACCCCAAUGACUUAAAAACUAUCUUGUAGAAGCCGUGUGCUAUUUCAUCUCAAAACACAGAAGACACUGCAUUCUACCAAACGUUCAGUGCAGACAGUAGAAAACCACGAUUGGCUUUAGAGAGUUUACCUCAGUAAGCUGCGCAGAAAAUGGCCCAAUAGAAUGAAAUUAUUAUGUUUUAAAGCCUAAAGGAAAAACAAAGUAAUGGCUAAGAUACUAAUGGUAUAAUUUAGAGGCCAAGGUGAAAGGCCCAGGUGCAGUGGAUCCUAUGAGUAAGCAAUUACGUAGAUUCAUAUUUGAUAGUUUAUAUCCCUUCUGCAGUUUAAGGACUUUUCUCUUAACAGACAUUGCUCUGAUCUGGAAACCAGCAGUAUCUUUCUGUCCACCUCUGUUCAUUCUGGCUUGUUUCAAUUCCUAAUCUUAUUCCUCCCCACCAUAUCAUUAAAGAAAGCAAAGUUAUCUUCUCAUGACACGAUUAUGGGGCAUAUAUAAGAAUGAAUUAUACUAAAAAUUCAUGUAAAUAAUUUAUGUUAAAAUAUUUAAAUUAAAAA